CAUAUCUUUAUGUACAUGUUUUUAUUUUUCAAAAAUUUGUGACGUUUCUCUCAUCGCUAUUCCAUUGGCAUGAAUGUUGGAGUGUAAUUGGACAGUUUUUAGUGAUGCCAUCAAAAUAGUUAUUCUCGGUCGCUUUAGAAAGAGCGAACUGGACAACCGAAUAUGCGUCUUGUUCGUAUGAAAUCAUCUGUUUGUAAUGUUUGCAUACAUCCUUGAUUCUUCUAAUAUUGUAGAAGAUAAAGGGCAUGUAUAGGUAUGUUGUAUUUAUGAGAAUAAAUAUAUAUUGUCUUUUGCCAGGUCGAAUUUCUCUGAGAUUUCCUAAUGUCGAAUUCGAAGCUAUGAGUUGUGUGAUGCCUCUGUGUUAAAACUCGUGGAGGGUUCGAGUGAGUAAAGAUUUGAUCCGAUAUCAAGCCACGGAUAUGUCAAUUUGUUUAUCAACAGAAUAAUGUGCAGCAACUUUCAGGAUAGGAAAUCUCAUUUUUAGUAUGCCGAUAAUUCUCUCUAUAUGAUUCCGAAGUUGAGCAUGACGAAGGUUGAACAAUUCCUUGUAAUUUUGUGGCCUUUGACGUACUUCUCCUUGUUCUUUUAGAUGAUACCUAGUACCACGGUAUGGAGCAAGAAAUUGGGGUGUGUUUGCAUAACCAGCAUCAACAAGCAAGGGGAAGAUGAAAGCAUAGAGCACAGGCAGCAAGGGGAAGAUGAAAGAAUAGAGCACAGGCAGCAAAUGCUGUGAGCAGGGAAAAGAGCUAUCCAUUGUAGAGAGUAGCAUCAGGUUAUAUAGGCACUUGCUGCUAACGGCUACUUCAGGCAGUUGACUGCACUAGCCGUUGGAAGUUUGAAAAACAUCAGACUUACAAAUAGAAAUAAAAAUACUUUAUUGUAAAA